rnacentral:misc_RNA from 1 species
UCUCCGUUGGUGAACCAGCGGAGGGAUCAUUACCGACUUUACAACUCCCAAACUCCAAUGUGAACGUAACCAAACUGUUGCCUCGUCGGCGUUUCGGCACCGGGCGCGUCGCAACCACGGACCAAGGCGCCCGCCGGAGGACCAGCCCAAAACUCUUUAGUAUCUCCCCUCGCGGUUUUUUUAUAACUGAGCCUUCUCGGCGCACCUAGUGGGCGUUUCGAUAAUGAAUCAAAACUUUCAACAACGGAUCUCUUGGUUCUG